AUUGAACGCUGGCGGCAGGCCUAACACAUGCAAGUCGAACGAGAGGCGGACGGGUGAGUAAUAUCUGGGAAACUGCCUGAUGGGGGGGGAUAACUACUGGAAACGGUAGCUAAUACCGCAUACCAUCAGAUGUGCCCCGAUGGGAUUGGCUAGGAGGUGGGGUAAAGGCUCACCUAGGCGACGAUCCCUAGCUGGUCUGAGAGGAUGACCAGCCACACUGGAACUGAGACACGGUCCAGACUCCUACGGGAGGCAGCAGUGGGGAAUAUUGCACAAUGGGCGCAAGCCUGAUGCAGCCAUGCCGCGUGUGUGAAGAAGGCCUUCGGGUUGUAAAGCACUUUCAGCGGGGAGGCGUUACUCACAGAAGAAGCACCGGCUAACUCCGUGCCAGCAGCCGCGGUAAUUC
rnacentral:rRNA from 1 species